ACUGAGUCUUGUAUUGGAUGAUGGGAAUCUAAACCCCUUCCAGAGUAUCAAUUGGAGGGCAAGUCUGGUGCCAGCAGCCGCGGUAAUUCCAGCUCCAAUAGCGUAUAUUAAACUUGUUGCAGUUAAAAAGCUCGUAGUUGAAUUUCUGCUGUUUCGUUGACUGCGUUUGGCGUUUGUCAUCGUUGCGGCUUGGUUGGGUUUCGAUUAUUCGUUUCCCGGCGUUUACUUUGAGAAAAUUAGAGUGCUUGAAGCAGGCUUUUGCCUUGAAUACUUUAGCAUGGAAUAACGGAGUAGGACUUUGGUUCUAUUUUGUUGGUUUUAGGAGCCAGAGUAAUGGUUAAUAGGAACAGUUGGGGGCAUUCGUAUUUGACUGUCAGAGGUGG
rnacentral:rRNA from 1 species